rnacentral:rRNA from 1 species
UACGGGGGGGGUAAGCGUUGUUCGGAAUUACUGGGCGUAAAGGGCUCGUAGGCGGCCAACUAAGUCAUACGUGAAAUCCCUCAGCUUAACUGGGGAACUGCGUGUGAUACUGGAUGGCUUGGAUUUGGGAGAGGGAUGCGGAAUUCCAGGUGUAGCGGUGAAAUGCGUAGAUAUCUGGAGGAACACCGGUGGCGAAGGCGGCAUCCUGGACCAAUAUUGACGCUGAGGAGCGAAAGCUAGGGGAGCAAGCGGG